rnacentral:lncRNA from 1 species
AACAUCCCUGGAGACAUUUUGAUGUCAGUAGAAGUCUCUCACAUUCAGAAAGGAUCUCUGUUUGCUGAAGACCAGCAAAUGCGAGGUGAUUUGAAAGAACCCAGCAAUCUAGAGGAAUUAAGACAUUCAUUCCAAACAGCUAUGGACAAACUAGUGAAAGAUAUUGAGCUUACAUUACAGGAAACCCAGAAUAAUGAUAACAACAGGCACAAGAAGCAGCAACAAGUAAAGAUGGUAUGUGGAAAAUAGAGUUCUUCCAGAUGUAAAACUACAAUGAAUUGUGGAGGGUGUAGAUCAGCCAGAAAAUUAUCUGCAAAAGAGUAUGAGGAUCAUGAGAAAUCUGAGUUUCUUCUGAGAGAAAAAGAACUCCAGUAGCUCAGAUUUUUGUGCAUUAUAUCAAAUUCACAAGUUGUGAGAUCUUUCUACUUGGUUAAAAAGGUUGUAGUGUUUGAUUUAGGCCAGGAAGACUCUAAUUUAAUAUUUUUUGAAAAUUCUGUAAAUGUUCAAAUCAGAAAACUUUGAUAGGGGGGAUUUUUUCAUGUUUUGUUGCACAAUAUUCAAUGUAAGAUUUCUUUUCAAAAUUGAUUGAUUAAAUUUAGAAAUGAUGGAAAUUAGAGAAAUGAAGGUUAUUAGAGAACUAGUGAAUCAUUACAUGAAAGUAUGAAUAAUCGCUUGAACAAAUACUCAGGUAGACUUAGAUGAAUCUAUUCCAUCUGCAUCUCUAUCAGACUGAAAAUGAAUUUAACAACUCUCCAAUUUGUAGCAGGGUGGCAUGAGAGACAUACCAACAUCAUAUUUCAUCUCAGACAAUACAACUGAGAACAUGGAUGCUAAGAGUCAUAUGGCACACUUGGAUGUGAUGGGAAGAACAAGUUCUUUGCAGUCUGAAGUAUCCACCAAUGUGGAAGAACAGAAAGAGCUUUGCUGCAUGCAGGUCACUGCUGCUGACAUUGAACUUCAGAGGAUGUGGUGCAAUUUUGUGCUGGCUGAACAGAAAUAUGAAUAUGAGGAUAGUGACAAAAAUAGGCUUCAUAAAGAGAGAAUGGCACGGAUUCAUCAACAGUUUAGCCAAGGACUCCAAGACCGGCUCCUGCCUCCAAACCAAAAUGUUUUGUUUUUCUUAUACUGCUUCACCAUUAUGUUUAUUAUUUACAUAGUAAAAGACCUAGUCUUUUACUUUUUCCAAAACCAUCACCAGUUCUCUUUUGCUAUUGUGAUCUUUUUCAUUCUCAAAGGGAUUUUCCAGGAUUAA